ACUUCAUACACUAAUUGCUCUGCCUUUUCCAAAAAGAAGGGGCUAAAUUAUAUUUAUAUGAAUAUGUUAUAGUUUGCAUUUUAUAAACCAUUUUACAUUUGCAAAUUCAUUGCUCAUACAAGAAGAAAAGCACAAAACUUUUAUUUUCUCAAAUAUUGCACAGGUUCAUAUUCCAGUGGCGAUGAUACUACCUUUUCUUAUGGCAUGCAGUGUCAAACUGCAGUGUGGUAUUUUCUUUCCCUUUACUCCAAAUUAGUGCUUGGGUAUGAGAAAUUGAGAAUAACUCACUUGAUAAAAAUAGACCCUGAAUGCAUUAAUGACUGGAGGUUUUGUUUGAUGGCAGAAAUUUGAAUGGGUGGGCUCCUUAUUAAGGAACACUGGUGUUGCUCUAUCACUGUCUGAGUGAAAACUGAUAAUAGCUUCAGUGGGGUUCCUUUGUUGAAUCAGUGAGGUUAUUAUGUCUGAAUCAACUUAGUUAGCCAUUGUUAUACAAAAUGUUUAGGGUCAAGAUGGUUGCAAAAGAUAGUUUAUCAUUGCUGAGCUCAAGUGAGGACAAGCCAGAUUGGAUUCCAUAGAGAUUCAGCACAACUCAGGAACAGUUUCUGCUUGUAUGGAAUCACAUUACACAUAAAAAGCAAAAGAGAGCUAACUGGCUGGCUCCUAAAUUUGCAAGUGUAGAGCUAUCUGGUUGUUCCCUAAAUCUGUGCCGAUGUUCUCUUCUCACUUCAUCUGAAAUUAACAUUUAGUUCUUAGAGAAUUUGUGACUGCACAAAUGUGGACGCUAUGUCGAUUCUUCCUGCUCUAUAGAAGAAUAAUUAUCUAGAGAUUUUGUCAAUGUCUGUAACACAAUGUGUGUGUGAUAAGUUUGUGAAGGGGCUCAUUCAUGUACAUGGUUCGAAUCUGAAGGAGUUAGCAAAUGUUGGUUGCUUUCAAGUCUUUACAGAUUCUUACUCUAUGCAAUACUGCUCUAGGCAAUAGUUUUCUUUUAGAAGUAACAGUACCAUUAUUAUAUUACUUUUAUACCAAUAUUCAGAAGCAACAUGGAGCGGCAUAAACUGACUUGCUUUUAUGAUUUAUUUUUUCUAGAUAUAACCGUAGCGUUAGCACGGGCAAUAUACUAGUGAUAGUAGUUGUAAAAUGGAUGAUGAUAAUAGAAUGAAGGACUUAGUCUGAGGCCUCACUUGCAAUCCAGGGUUUUAAGUAUCUGAAGACAACACAAAAAUUGCUUGACGUGAUUGUCAGCAUUUGAUUGUGCACUAUGCAAAAAUAGAUAAAGAUCCUUGCCGAAACAGGAAAAGUGAAUGACAAAGCCAAUGAUGGGGGGCUAAAAACGAGAUAGUAUCUUCAUAGGAGCCCAAUGUCGGAGCUUUUCAACUACUGAGAAACAAGUUUUUUUUAAUAACUCCUUAGAGACAAGAGCUCCAUAAUAACAUGAUGAAACUUAUUGCUGGCAAUAUCUUCCUGGUUGGGCACACAUGGCAGGUAUUUUCUGUAUGGCAGGUAGACAUGCUGAUGCAUGUCCUUUUAAAAUCAAAUUGUAUAAACCAAUCAGUUAUCCGAUAUUUUCAGGGAAAAAAAGUGUGUUCCAUUGGCAUGCCUUGCUUAGCUGCUAUGGCUCUUUGCAAUGUGAAUUCUAGUAUUGGGAUGUAAUCUAUAGAUAGACAGAAAUCAUAUAUGGUCUACAAUUUUUUUCAUAUGUAUUUUA